CUGGUUGAGGUAUUGUUAGGGUAUUUUACUGUCUCUAUUGUGUAUGAUGCCCUGGUUGAGGUAUUGUUAGAGUAUUUUACUGUCUCUAUUGUGUAUGAUGCCCUGGUUGAGGUAUUGUUAGAGUAUUCACUGUCUCUCUAUUGUGUAUGAUGCCCUGGUUGAGGUAUUGUUAGCGUAUUUACUGUCUCUCUAUUGUGUAUAAUGCCCUGGUGUGAGUUUGUUAGCGUAUUUACUGUCUCUCUAUUGUGUGAUGCCCUGGU
rnacentral:lncRNA from 1 species